UACAUUUAAUUAUAGUUAUUUUAUUAUGGUUUUUUUGCAGGAAUGCCUGAUGGUGACUCCUUGCCACUCAAAGUUUCCCUUAAGGAUGGCAUGAGAAUAAGAUACCAUAGGAGCCACCUAUCCUCUAUUUUAAAAGGGAGGGUGUCAAAGUGAAGGCAUACUAUGUGUGGGCAUUUCAUGAUAAUUUUGAAUGGGGUCAUGGUUACACUGUUCGAUUUGGCAUCGUUUAUGUUGAUUAUAAGAAUAAUCAGAAACGUUAUCUCAAAUACUCUGCUUAUUGGUUUAAAAAAUUCCUUCUAAAUUAACAUUUAACCUAGCUAAUCCUAUGACUAAGCUGCAACUAAAUAAAUAGAAAAUCAACAAAUUUCUCA